ACAAGUUCCGAAAAACAGCCGGUCUACCGAGCAAUUUCAGUCGCUCGGUGGAAGACCUUCCCUUUUUCAU
rnacentral:pre_miRNA from 1 species